UACGGAAGGUCCGAGCGUUAUCCGGAUUUAUUGGGUUUAAAGGGAGCGUAGGCGGAAUGGUAAGUCAGCCGUUAAAUAGCGGGGCUCAACCCCGUAGUGCGGUUGAAACUGCCGUUCUUGAGUGCACGAGAGGUAGGUGGAAUUCGUGGUGUAGCGGUGAAAUGCUUAGAUAUCACGAAGAACUCCGAUUGCGAAGGCAGCUUACUGGUGUGUUACUGACGCUGAUGCUCGAAGGUGCGGGUAUC
rnacentral:rRNA from 1 species